rnacentral:sRNA from 1 species
AUACAGCCCUGAUUGCAGUGGAAAUCUCCCGACACUAUUAAAAAGUGGCGGGAAUUGUAACGUAAAGCAGGAAAACGG